CCACUAAUCAUCUAUAAAUAAUCGAAACCUCCGUUAACAUUAACAUAAUAUACGUACGAUAACAAAUCUUUUCUUACAAGUUCGAUGAAUGGAGAAAUCAUCUGCUCUCUUCCUUUUUACUUGCGUUUGUUUCAUUUUAACCAUCGUCCCAACUAGACGUUUCCAAAAACAAUUGGUCUGCGAAAGCGAAGGUGAAGAUAAUUAGCAACUAAGAUAUAUAAAAUACAAUUUUGCAGCAUUUUCUUCAUGAAAAAUGAAACAAUUUUGUAACUUUUGGUUCAUUGAGGAAGAUGUUUGACAACUAGACGUUUCCAAAAACGAUUGGCCUGCGAAAGCAAAGGUGAAAAUAAUUAGCAGCUAAGAUAUAUAAAAUGCAAUUUUGCAGCAUUUUCUUCAUGAAAAAUGAAACAAUUUUGUAACUUUUGGUUCAUUGAGAAAGAUGUUUGACAACUAGACGUUUCCAAAAACGAUUGGCCUGCAAAAGCGGAGGUGAAGAUAAUUAGCAACUAAGAUAUAUAAAAUGCAAUUUUGCAGCAUUUUCUUCAUGAAAAAUGAAACAAUUUUGCAAUUUUUGGUUCAUUGAGAAAGAUGUUUGACAACUAGACGUUUCCAAGAACGAUUGGCUUGCGAAAGCGAAGGUG
rnacentral:lncRNA from 1 species